rnacentral:lncRNA from 1 species
UUUUUUUUUUUUUUUCAUGGAACAAAUAUUUGGGAAAUGAUGAAUGAAACCAUCAUCUAAACCCACUUAAGAAGAUGCCUUCUAACACAGGGUCCCCUGCUUGAGCAAAGGUGAUGGGCACAAAAUUCAGAUAGAAAACAGUACAUCCUUUGCUGUACUACAUUUUCCUUCGGGUUUUUUUUUUUUUGCCUUUUUUUUUUUUGUCUUUUCCAUGGCCGCUCCCACAACAUAUGGAAGUUCCCAGGCUAGGGGUCAAAUUGGAGCUGCAGCCGCUGGCCUAUGCCACAGCCACAGCAAUGUGGGACCCGAGCCGUGUCUGCAACCUACACCACAGCUCACGGCAACGCCGGGUCCUUAACCCACUGAGCGAGGCCAGGCAUCGAACCCGCAACCUCAUAGUUCCUAGUCGGAUUCGGUAACCCCUGAGCCACGAAGGGAACUCCUUCGUUUUUUAAAGUCUUCCUCAUGAGCUUCCUUUAAGUUGGGAUCCUCUAAUGAACAAGUAAAUCAGAAUCACAUAUAUUCAGGUUAUACACAACAUCUGUGGAACAGAGUGCAUCUGAGUUCAAUGCUCUCUUAGGCCUAACAGUAGUUGCUUUGAAUGAGAAUGUCGGAUGCUGGAAGAUAUGAAAUAGUUAAAAAAUACAAAUCUAAAGGAUGCUAGCUGAUAUUAGCUACAGUCUAUGCUCUUGAAAAUGACUUCUAUGAGGCCUAAUCAAUAAUAGUUAUACAUCACCAAUUUCCAUGUCUUAUUGACUCUGGGUAUGGCUGUCUCUAUUCAUCUUACUAAUUCCACACGUUACUUCAACACUGAUACUGAAUUCAAGUCAAUGGCAGAUCUGUAAUAAAUUAAUCAGUAUGCAAAAAAAUGGGAAACGCAGGUCCUACUCACGGGUAAUGCUCAGUGAAAGCCCUUGACAGUAUGCCUGUUGCUGCAACCUGGAGCCAGUUUACACAGUCAUAGCAACAAGGACCUGGAAUUUUCCUAUGAAGACAAGUGGGAAUCCAGAAACCCUCACCCAGAUGCUUUUUGAAGGUAAAAAACAAACAAACAAACACAUCCCUGCUGACUGCAUCAGGAUCUAAGACAUCGGGGGCGGGGGGGGGCGGGGUUAAAAUAGGAGGGAGGGAGAGUAGAGAUGCAGAAGAACGAUGAGGCGCAAGGAUGAUAAACCUCCUGGGAGAGAAACGGAUGCCAUCGCAGCGUGGAUGGAGGUUGCUGGCUCACCGUGGGAAGAGAGGGGACCAGGGUUUCUAGUCGUUCAAAGCCCUGGCUUAGCUCUAUCUCAUGCCUUUCUCUGACUUCCUCAAAAGGAAGGAACAUUUCUCCACCCACUAGAAUCCAAUCUCUCUUGAUUUCUAUUAUAAUUACCCAUGUUAUCUCUGUGUUUAAAUUAUGCAUACAUAUGUCUUACCUUCCUUAGUAGACUAUCAGCCUGAUUGAGGUCAGCUUCUAUGUUUUAAUUCAUUUCUCCAUCUCCUAGGAUCUUGCUCUGGGGAGCUAUUCAUUAUCAGUUGACCACAUGACUAAAUGCAUAAAAUAUAGGUUUGCUACAUCAAGGCAGUAAAAGGAUUGUUGGAUCUUGGAUGCAAAUGCAGAGGUGUUCUCAUCUUUGAGUUCAUGUAAAGGCUGACUCUUUGAAUUGUGAAUUACGGAAUACAAACUCUGCCGGUAGCAGACAACUUUUGAAAAGCCUUCCCUUUUGCUGUGCGUGCUUCCAGGCAUCCAGUCCAGACCUUGCAUCCAAACACCCAAAGGUAAGAAGAGAUGCUAGCUUAUUUCGAAAUGGAGUUUGAAGUCAGUCAGGUCUUAAUUGUGAGCGACUAUUAAGUUUAAGACACUGCCUUCGGCAGCCUCCUGUGUCUUCUUCCCUCCUAAGGGUUUGCUAAUACUGUAACCCAUUCCUUCCUCAACUCAGAAGCCCAUCAUCACACCUUAACUGGUCUGCCUCCACGCCUCUCUGCCCAGAUUGACACUUAACUUUAAUUUCCCCUUUCCCAAAACAAAACAACAAAAUCAAACUUUACAGAGGACUUAACUGUAUUCAAAUAUCCAUACAAUUCUAUCCAUGGCAACAGUCUCGGUUUUUCAGAAACUUCAUUUCCAGCGUCCCCCACCUCCACGGACAAAAGAAAAUGGGCCCCAGUGUCACAAACUUCGGCACCUCUCAAGGAACUAAUUAAAUCUCCUAGGACGCUCUCACCCACACCCUCAGAAAUCUGAAGGGUGUGCAAAAUCCAAACCCAAUUCAACACGAUGAUAAUAAAAGCCCUUUACUUUCUGUAACGCUCCAUCUUGGAUUUCUUUGUCUCUUUCCCCCCACAGAGUAGUAAAUUUCCAAAUUCCCCAAAGGUCAGGAGUUUGGCAAUGGAACAACGGGCGUCCUGUGGGGGAGAGCCUGGGGGGGAGGGUUGCUUCUCUCCAGGCUACUCCAGGGGGCUGUUGUCUCUCUUGGGAGCUUCAGGCGUCAUCAAAGUGGAUGAACGCUGGGCACAGCGGGAAACUCAGGCUCUGAGGUGAUGUUGCAACGCUGGGUACCUGCCACCCAGCUCGGGAAGCACAGACUCAGACCUGCUGCCUUGUGGGGGCUGCAGGUGAAGCCAAGUCUGAGAGGCCUCAAGUGGUGGGGUGAUGAGGUCUCUUCUAUUUGAGAGAGGAAAGGGGUUCUUCCAGCUCCUCCCCAAACCAGCUUGAAAAGGAAGAAAAGGCAAGAGAAGUAACACUUGGCUGGAAUGGUUUAAAUGUACCAAAGCUCAUAAUGCGUGAUUUUUGUUUUUGUUUUUGUUUUUUUGGUCUUUCUAGAGCCGUGCCUGCAGCAUAUGGAAGUUCCCAGGCUAAGGGUUGAAUGGAGCUGCAGACGCCACCCUGCAGCACAGCCACAGCCUCACCAGAUCUGAGCUGCAUCUACAGCGAUGCCGGAUCCUUAACACAAUGAGAGGGGCCAGGGAUCGAACCUGCAUCCUCAUGGAUGCUAGUCGAGUUCGUUACCACUGAGCCAUGACGGGAGUUCCGAUGCUGCAUGUUUCAUCUUUCAUCUUCACACAACCCUACAAGCAAGAAUGAUCACUCCCUCUAAAGACCAUCUGAAGCUCAAAAGAACUUCCUCAAAACUGGUAAAACCAGUGCAUUACGGAGGCAAGAUUCAAACCCAGGCUUGUUUGGUUCUUUUUUUUUUUUUUUUUUCUUUUUUUCUUUCACAGCUGUGGCACAUGGAAGUUCCAGGGCUAGGGAUUGAACUGUAACUGCAGCUACCUACAUUGCAGCCACAGCAAUGCAGGAUCUGAGCCGCAUCUGUGACCUAUGCCACAGCUUGUGGCAAUGCCAGAUCGUUAACCCAUUAGCAAGGCCAGGGAUCGAACCUUCGUCCUCACAGACAUUAUGCUGGGUUCUUAACCCACUGGGCUGCAACAGGAACUCCCUAUCUGGGUCUUAAAUCCCUGUUCUUACCAUAUACCACACUGCCUUUCAAAAGGAAAAACUGGUUUCUUUUCUUUUUUCUUUUUUUUUUUUUUUUUUUUUUUUAGGGCUGCACCUGCAGCAUAUGGAAGUUCCCAGGCUAGGGGUCGAAGCGGAACUACAGCUGCCAGCCUGCAUCACAGCCAGAGCAACGCCAGAUCCUUAGCCCACUGAGUGAGGCCAGGGAUCAAACCCACAACCCCUUGCUUCCUAGUCAGAUUCAUUUCCGCUGCACCACAACGGGAACUCUUUUGUUUGGUAUUUUCUAUAGCACAAAAUUAAUAUUCCAGCAGGAAGUCAAUUGUUUUUCCAGUGUGCUUGGGGGUACUUGUUAAAUUUCACAUUCCCUAUGUUAGUCGACUUGGGGUGCUUAAUAAUACGAAAAGUCUGCCAAACUCUACUUUCUGAGACAGAAUUCCUAGGAGUGAAGCUCUGAAAAUUUGCCCAUAUGCAGGUAGGUCUUCUGCACACGCCAUUUUGCUUCACUUAUUGGCAUGAAAUAAAUUAUUUGUUUUAUUAGGAAAUCAUUAAAUCUCAAAACCUUCUCCUACUGAAACAACCCUCGACCUAAACUCUAACCUAAAUACUUUUUCAGACGCUAUUGUUUAAUUUCAAUAAAAUGUUUCCUCUCCAUGUCACAAAUCAACAGGUAAGUGAUGUUAAACAUUUAUUUCGGGGAUCGGGCAUCAGCCCAUUCGUUCCAAAGCUUGUGGAGCCCUUGAGGUUAAGCAGCUAGAGCAAGGGGACCAGUGUAACUUGGAUAAGUCACAGAAAGGUGCCACUUUAUGGAAGAUGAGCUUAAGGACAGAAGAGAGAGGCAACAUCCUUUUUUUUUUUUUAAAGAGCUGCUACAAAAUCAGUUCAACUACUGCCCCUCGAGUCCCAAGAGUUGUCUUCCCAAAAGAGGGUCCACUACCCUUCAGACAAAGAACUCUUCCUCUAAUGUGGGAGCAAUCUAAGCGUCCGCUGAAAGAUGACUGGAUUAGGAUGUGAAAUAUACACACACACACAUAUAUGCACACACAGUGAAUAUUACUCUGCCAUAAAAAAGAACAAAAUCUUGCCAUUUGCAGCAAUACGGACAGACCAAGAGAGUAUCACUUCUUUCUGAUGAGAGUACUUAUCACUAGAAGCGGGCAGUUUGCUGAGUGACUCAGUCUCUUCCGUAAGCAAAUGGUUUACCAGGAUGACCAACAAUCAUAACCAGACAGCAAAUGGCAAAGGUGUAGACCAAGAAGAGAGAGCAGAAAAGGCCAGAAUUAACACUGACUAAGCAACAUGAAGGUGCUAGUUGCAGUCUUAGAAGUUUUGCAUACGUUUUCUAAUUUAAUCUUUACUGAAGCAUGUGGCUUUCCCAUACCUGUUUAAAAAUCCCAAGCAUUCUACCGAGGGGCUUCAGAGCACCUGCAUGUUAUUUUUAAAUUAACUUUCUCACUCUUUAGUAAGAACUCCACCGCAAGGUGUAUAAUAGAUAAAACUUUUGAAACAGUUUUUUCGGCUAUUAGAAAUGAAUACAAAGCCUUCUAUGUGUCAUAUGGUAGAACAGCACUUAACAAAUGCGUUAGUUCUUAAGUCCCUGUCAUGGCGCACUGGUUAACAAAUCUGACGAGGAACCAUGAAGUUGCGGGUUUGAUCCCUGGCCUUGAGUGGGUUCACGAUCUGGCGCUGCCGUGAGCUGUGGUGUAGG